GUUUAGAGGUUAUGUUUCGGGGUUUAGGGUUUAGAGUUGAUGUUUCAGGGUUUAGGGUUCAUAUUUAAAAAAAAAUAGGGUUUAGGAUUGAUGGUUUAGGGUUUAGAUUUCGUUUUUCAAAAAAAUAGGGUUUUGAAAUACGAAAUGGUGUAUAAAUGACUUUUUUUUAUGAAACAAAAUGAGUAUUAUUUAGUUUUAGCUAAGAUAGGUCUGGACAUGGAACAAAUACUCUAAAAUUUCAAUAUUCAUGAGUCGCUUCAUCCUAAACGAAUAUUUAUAUUUGCAAUAAGUUAAAAUUCACAAAAUUUCAAACAUAAGAAAAUCCAG
rnacentral:lncRNA from 1 species